GACGAACGCUGGCGGCGUGCUUAACACAUGCAAGUCGAACGGUAAGGCCCUUCGGGGUACACGAGUGGCGAACGGGUGAGUAACACGUGGGUGAUCUGCCCUGCACUUCGGGAUAAGCCUGGGAAACUGGGUCUAAUACCGGAUAGGACUCCGGACUGCAUGGUCUGGGGUGGAAAGCUUUUGCGGUGUGGGAUGGGCCCGCGGCCUAUCAGCUUGUUGGUGGGGUGAUGGCCUACCAAGGCGACGACGGGUAGCCGGCCUGAGAGGGUGACCGGCCACACUGGGACUGAGAUACGGCCCAGACGCCUACGGGAGGCAGCAGUGGGGAAUAUUGCACAAUGGGCGCAGGCCGGAUGCAGCGACGCCGCGUGAGGGAUGACGGCCUUCGGGUUGUAAACCUCUUUCAGCAUCGACGAAGCGAAAGUGACGGUAGGUGCAGAAGAAGGACCGGCCAACUACGUGCCAGCCGCCGCAGUAA
rnacentral:rRNA from 1 species